rnacentral:rRNA from 1 species
AAUUAUUAUUAGAAUUUUUAAAUAAUUAUUCACGAAAUAAAUUGAGCUAAAUUUUUGGUAUUUUUGGAAAUUAUAACUAUAUGUUACAAAAUAUAUUAACUAAAUAGAUUUAGGGGUGAAAGGCCUAUCAAAUUUUAUGAUAUCUUGAAGUAUAUAAAAUAUAUCAAGUAUUUCUAAUUCAACUAUUGAAUGUUUAGGUUCAAUAGUAACAUUAUAUUUUUUAAAAAAUUGUUCAAUUUUUUUAAGUAAAAUUGAGUUAGAGCAUAAAAUAUACAUCAAAUUUUUAUUAUAUGAAUAUAAAUAUACUACGGUUAUUAAUAAAUAUAAUCAUAUAUAAUGUAAUUAUUAGUAAUAGUUUAUUAAACUAUAUAAAGGAAUUCGGCAAGAAAAUUUUUCACCUGUUUAUCAAAAACAUAGCUUAUUGAAUAUCAUAAUAAGUAACCCCUGCUCAAUGGAAAUCUAAAUAGCCGCAGUACCUUGACUGUGCAAAGGUAGCAUAAUCAAUUGGCUUAUAAUUGAAGUCUGGAAUGAAUGGGUAAUCUGGAAAAUAACUGUCUUUAUUUGUAGUAUUUUGAAUUUACUUAUAAAGUGAAAAUACUUUAAUAUAAAUAUAAGACGAGAAGACCCUAGAAAUUUUUUGUUAAUAACUUUUGUUGGGGCGACAGGGUAACAUAUAAACUUACUUACAUUUAUAUAAAUCUUAUAAGGUACGUAACUAAAUUACUCUAGGGAUAACAGCAUAAUAUAUAAAAGUUUAUGACCUCGAUGUUGGACUAGGUAAUUAAAUAUUUAAAAGAUAUCUUAAAUUUGCUCUGUUCGAGCAGUAUCACCUACAU